rnacentral:rRNA from 1 species
CCUACGGGAGGCUGCAGUGGGGAAUUUUGCGCAAUGCUCGUAAGAGUGACGCAGCGACGCCGCGUGAAUGACGAAGGCCUUCGGGUCGUAAAGUUCUUUCGACAGGGAAGAAAAUGCCUAUAAGUAACUGUGUAUGUAUUGACGGUACCUGUAUAAGCAGCCCCGGCUAACUCCGUGCCAGCAGCCGCGGUAAUACGGAGGGGGCGAGCGUUGUUCGGAGUGACUGGGCGUAAAGAGCACGUAGGCGGUGUUGUAAGUCAUUAGUCAAAGACUAGAGCUCAACUUUAGUAAGGCUAGUGAUACUAUAAUACGAGAGUAUCAGAGAGGAUUGCAGAAUGCUUGGUGUAGCGGUGAAAUGCGUAGAUAGCAGGAGGAAUACCGUUAGCGAAGGCGGCAAUCUGGCUGGAAACUGACGCUGAGGUGCGAAAGCGUGGGUAGCAAACAGGAUUAGAUACCCUAGUAGUC